rnacentral:tRNA from 1 species
GGAAGUGUGGCAGAGCGGCCGAAUGCACUCGCCUUGAAAGCGAGCGAGGGUAAUACCUCCGGGGGUUCAAAUCCCUCCACUUCCG